rnacentral:rRNA from 1 species
UACGUAGGUGGCAAGCGUUGUCCGGAUUUACUGGGUGUAAAGGGCGUGUAGCCGGGCUGACAAGUCAGAUGUGAAAUUCCGGGGCUCAACCCCGGACCUGCAUUUGAAACUGUUGGUCUUGAGUAUCGGAGAGGCAGGCGGAAUUCCUAGUGUAGCGGUGAAAUGCGUAGAUAUUAGGAGGAACACCAGUGGCGAAGGCGACUUUCUGGACAGUAACUGACGUUGAGGCACGAAAGUGUGGGGAGCAAACAGG